CCCGACACAAGAACAGAACUCAAAAGAGCAUAGGCGGGACUAGAAGUUUCACAAGGCUAAGCAGCGGGACAAACGGAAGUUCAGUUACCAACAAUAGAGGAAGCCAGGGAAGACCUUUAGCUAUCGUGGAGCACUAACAACAAUUGCAUCAGAUGGAGCACUAACAACAAUUACUAUAUAAUAACAAUUAAUAUAUAAUAAAUAUACCUUUCACUCCAGUCCUUUAUACCUGUCCUAUUCAUUCUAUUACUUACAGCGCUAGAUCUAUCCCAUAUUCAAUACCGGCACCAAUUACACUAAAGCAGAAUCAUUAGCCGAGGGGGCAACAACAAACAAGGCUCCUGACGCCAUGAAUACUAGACUUGCCCAUAUAACGGGUUAUAACUCAUUAAUUACGACAAACACUUGACAGGUCGCCAACACCUAAGAAGAGGAUUUCAUAGUAGGGCACGACAGAGAAUAUGUCUUAGUUGACUCGGAACAAGCAAAUCCACAAGUGUACAAAAGAAUUGAGGAACAAGAAAAGCACCGAGAAUGUUCUAAUUUAUGCAUAACACAAAGAAGAAAGUCUUAUAUUAUCGAAAAAGUCACUCUUGUACAGAUAUCCGUAGUAUUUGACGUACAUAUCUUAUGCUUCCUAACCUGAACGAACCCCAACAAGUCGAUAAGCAUUUACUUAAGAAUUUCAUGGAAUUUGCAGACUUCGGUAGGCGGAAAUGGGACAAGCAACAGUACUAGAGCAAGAAAGAAGACAUGAUCUGGUAUUGAAUGAAACUAAUAACUCAGGAUAAGGUACGAUCUUUCUUUCACUCCUAAUGCUAGGCUUCAGCGCAAGAAAGAUGAAAUGCAGAAUUGUUUACAAAGGGCAGCUAGCGACUUCACCUCUUCUUCAAGAGUAGCAAACACAGAUGAAACUAGGGGUGUGCUCUCCUCUGUAUUAGUUGACAUAGGUAUAGUAGUUUACAGAGCUGGAGCAGGCUUUCCCGAGUCGUACGAUAGAGGUUACAGGGCAAUGUUGGUAUAUAUAGAGGUUACAGGGCAAUGUUGGUAUAUAGAGGUUACAGGGCAAAUAAGGCUUUCACACCGGAUUGAGAGUCGCCCACUAGGGUGUUUCCAGUGCGAGUGAUAAAGUUCGGAAAGGGAGUUGACUAUCGAGUUUUUUCGAGUUUAUUGAAUUUUCUUCCUUUUCUUCCAAUACAAGG
rnacentral:lncRNA from 1 species